rnacentral:rRNA from 1 species
CCUACGGGGGGCAGCAGGCGCGAAAACUUUACAAUGCGGGCAACCGUGAUAAGGAAACCCCGAGUGCCAGCAUAGGCUGGCUGUCCACCAGUGUAAACAGCUGGUGAAGAAAGGGCCGGGCAAGACCGGUGCCAGCCGCCGCGGUAAUACCGGCGGCUCGAGUGGUGGCCGCUAUUACUGGGCUUAAAGGGUCCGUAGCUGGAUUUACAAGUCCCUUGAGAAAUCCGCCGGCUUAACUGGCGGGCGUUCAGGGGAAACUGUAAUUCUAGGGACCGGGAGAGGUGAGAGGUACUGCCGGGGUAGGAGUGAAAUCCUGUAAUCCCGGUGGGACCACCAAUGGCGAAGGCAUCUCACCAGAACGGGUCCGACAGUGAGGGACGAAAGCUGGGGGAGCAAACCGGAUUAGAUACCCCCGUAGUCC